GCAGAGUCAUUUCCCAUGGAGAGCUCAUUCUGGACCAGAACCAAUUUAUCCAGAUCGUUCCAGUAACCGAUCUGCAGAUGAUAGAUGAUGAGAUGAUUAAUCCUGUGUGUGUGUGUAUCUAGAGUCCGUUCCAUGUCGAUGCCCUGAUUCCAAGGAGCAGCUGGGUUGGCCAGACAGUCUCCAGCAUUGCCUCUGCGAGAGAUGUCGAUCUUCUGUCUGCGCAGAUUCCGAAAUGCCUCCGCCAUCACUAGCACACCAUCGUACGUCAGUGAUGAUGAGUACUGAGGAGGAAAGUGAAGCUCUGUCGCAGAGAAUUACAGCCAGAGGACACGCUGUCUUCUACAUUUGUUAAUUUCCUCCAGCCCUCCAUCACUGGAUGAAGCGCGCCAGCACUCACCAGGUCUUCCAGCAGUCUUCGGUAACUGGCGUCGUUGAAGUUCUCCACACAGAUGGCACUGACCUGCCAACCGUUCUGACCCGCCUUCUCCAUGAUGGCCUGCAGGAUGGCAUAUCCUGACAAAAACAACACCAAAACACUCUAAUGUGUGUGUUUGCGCUCUGUCCAAGCAUCCCGUGUGUAUUCUGCAUCCGUGUGCCAGUUAUGUCAGCCAAGAGCAACAGAUGUCCUUUAAAUUGGCCCUUAGUCACACCGCAGGACUUUGGACAUCAGGACAAAUGAAAUAUCCAAUGCGCCUCUGUGUGUGUGUGUGUGUGUGUGUGUGUGUGUGUGAGCAGGUUCAGAACAACUGAUAGGACACAAACCACAACACAGACAAACCACAGAUGACCGUGAGCUCACACACACACACACACACACAAUAAUGAAAUGGCACCAGCUGUCCCGUGAGUAAACACAGACUGGCAGCAGAGAGCUGGAGAAUCCUCUGUACACAAACACCAGUCUGUGUGUGGACAGAACGGACGGACGGACGCUUGCCUCUCGCUCCGUGUGUAAACACACUCUAGACCUGCUGCUUUUCAAACACACUGUGAAUGUAUAGACAUGUGAUGUGCAACUAAAUACACAGGUUCAACCGAAGCACGGCAUGAGAGUCUUCAAAAGGCAAGAGUUCGGAGAAAUUCUGUGUCAG